rnacentral:lncRNA from 10 species
CUUUCCAGUGCUGUUCUCAUGAUAGUGAAUACGUCUCAAGGUAUCUGAUGGUUUUGGAAAAGGAGGAGUUCUCCUGUACAAGCUCUCUGUUUGCCUACUGCCAUCCAUAUAAGAUGUGAUGUGCUUCUCCUUGCCUUCUGCCAUGAUUGUGAGGCCUCUCCAGCCAUGUGGAACUGUAAGUCCAUUAAACCUCUUCUGUUGUAAAUUGCCCAGUCCCUGUUAUGUCUUUGUCAGCAGCAUGAAAAUGGAUGAAUACAUCCACUUAUCUAUUUCUCUCUCUCCUUGUUUAAGUAGUCACCUCACUUUGGUCUGUGGCCACUGUCAUCACCAUGCCUCUUGCAUCAGUUGAGCUCUUUUCUAGACUUGGACACAAGCCUUUCCUCAAACCUGCUCCCUGUAGACCCUACGAAGGAAAUUAUAAGCACACUUUGUUUGCAAUAUGGUGGGAUUAUCAGGUCCAAGGCAACCUGCUUCCUGCUUCUCGGUCCUCCAUGCCGCCAGGCCCAGGACCUGGCUGACCUGAACCUCAGCUCUGAGGCUGGGCCCCUGCCUCCCAUGUCUUUCCUAGACCCACAUGUCUUGGGGGAGCUUUCAUUCAAUAUGCUGUUUAGGUGUUGACCUGAUGCACUCACUUGACAUAUCUCCUCUCCCUCAGUCAGCACUGUUCUCAUUCUAGCUUCUAGACUUUCUCAUUUUACUCUUCUGCUGUUUUUUUCUAAAUUACAUUGAAUAGCUAGGUGUAAAGAUCCCCCUGCUGCUUUUUUUUUUCACUGUACAAGAAAGCUCAAUUUCCUCAUCAGUAGUGCUGGAUCAGCCACGGAUUUACUGGGAAGCCAUAUGGCUGCAGAUUGCAACUAACAUCUCCCCAUAUGCCUCUGACUUUUAUGUCUGUCCUUCUCAGGAUGAAAUAAUGCUGCUGAUUGUUUUUAUUAACAUCAAAGCCUGACCUUUCUGAUUAACUGUACUUGACACCUCUUGGAUAUCCCUACAAAUUCUCUCUGCCCUGCCUUUUAUCCAUACACAGUCAUGUGGCUCUUUUCAUAUAGGCUUGGAUGGGCUUUGUGCAGGAGAUACCUGAUAAAGUUGCUCUGCAGACCAUACUACAUACCUCUUUCUUCUUGAUCUGGGGCUCCUAUGAUACUGCAGUGCAGGGCACUCAUGGAAUGCUUUUGUGUGUACAACUGGGAAGUGUGGGGGAGUCAAUACAUAUGGGCCCAGAUUUGACAAAUGAUGAUAGUGAGGGGAAGUGAAAUAAGACAAUGGAUAAAUACUUCCUGCCUUCAUCUCCAGGACAGAGAGUUCUGAGACUACUUCUUAAAGAUCAUCAGAAAGUCCCAUCCAUGGACCUUUUUUAUGGUUGUAUAGUAUUCUAUGAUGUAUGUAUAUGUACCACAUUUUCUUUAUUCAGUUCACUGUUGCUGGGCAUCUUCAUUGAUUUCAUGUCUUUGCUAAAAUAUGUUCUUUGUACAAUAUAGCUGAAGCUGAAGGCCAUUAUCCUAAGGGAACUAAUGCAAGAAUAAACCAACUACUGCAUGUUCUUACUUAUAAGUGGGAGCGAAGCAUUGAAUGCACGUGGACACAAAGCUUCUGAGACUGCUUUGGGGAAUGUGUUGCUGCUGGCCAGAUGAAGAAGGUUUCAAAGUAGACUUGGGCAGACACUGUCUAGGUGGUUACUGAAGAGGUAGACACUGAGGAGAGACAAUGUGGUGGUGGACAGUGGUGAGGCGGGCUUUGUGGAAACGUGAAAAGUUCUGGACACUUGAAGGCUAUGUCUCUCAACCCCAGGAAGAAUAUGUAACAGGAUAUGCAGGUCCUGACUCACAAUGGGGAAACAAGGAAGGAGGAAGAUUCAGCCAAUGACACACACAGCCAAGACUGGAGUUAAAAGUGAUUUAAUGAGGGCAGAGCAGGAUAUAUGCAUUUUUUUUCAUUCGAAUGUUCAGAUGAACCCUGAGCAGCUGAAGACCAGAAAAACCAUGAAGACUUUCUGCUUAACUCAGGGGUUUACAGAAUUCUUCAGAGUGUGUGCAAGCAAAAGGAGCUUCAUAGUGCAUAUUUUUAGAAUACAAAUAAGAGAAAGACUAUGACUUGGGGUGACAAUGUAUUGGUUACAAGGUCUACAGACAAUUAAGAUACAGAAGCAGAUAGGAAGAGUGUGUCCAGCAUCUGGUGGUCAGCUUCUCAAGGGCUUGUCUGUGCACCACAUUACUUCUACUUGGACUUCUGCUGAGCUGGGCCGGAAGUGACUGUUG